AUUGAACGCUGGCGGCAGGCCUAACACAUGCAAGUCGAGCGGAGCGGCGGACGGGUGAGUACUGCCUAGGAAUCUGCCUGGUAGUGGGGGAUAACGUCCGGAAACGGGCCCUAAUACCGCAUACUAUCAGAUGAGCCUCGGUCGUAUUGGCUAGUUGGUGGGGUAAAGGCCUACCAGGGCGACGAUCCGUAACUGGUCUGAGAGGAUGAUCCGCCACACGGGAACGGAGACACGGUCCAGACGCCUACGGGAGGGAGCAGUGGGGAAUAUGGGACAAUGGGCGAAAGCCUGAUCCAGCCACGCAGCGUGGGUGAAGAAGGUCUUCGGAUGGUAAAGCACUUUAAGUUGGGAGGCGUUACCAACACAAUAAGCACCGGCUAACUUCGUGCCAGCAGCCGCGGUAAUUC
rnacentral:rRNA from 1 species